rnacentral:rRNA from 1 species
GUGGGGAAUAUUGGACAAUGGGCGAAAGCCUGAUCCAGCCAUGCCGCGUGGAUGAUGACGGCCUUAGGGUUGUAAAGUCCUUUCGACGGGGAAGAUAAUGACGGUACCCGUAGAAGAAGCCCCGGCUAACUUCGUGCCAGCAGCCGCGGUAAUACGAAGGGGGCUAGCGUUGCUCGGAAUCACUGGGCGUAAAGCGCACGUAGGCGGCUUUCUAAGUCAGGGGUGAAAUCCUGGAGCUCAACUCCAGAACUGCCUUUGAUACUGGAGAGCUUGAGUUCGGGAGAGGUGAGUGGAACUGCGAGUGUAGAGGUGAAAUUCGUAGAUAUUCGCAAGAACACCAGUGGCGAAGGCGGCUCACUGGCCCGAUACUGACGCUGAGGUGCGAAAGCGUGGGGAGCAAACAGGAUUAGAAACCCGAGUAGUCC